rnacentral:rRNA from 1 species
UACGAAGGGGGCUAGCGUUGUUCGGAUUUACUGGGCGUAAAGCGCACGUAGGCGGAUCGUUAAGUCGGGGGUGAAAUCCUGGAGCUCAACUCCAGAACUGCCUUCGAUACUGGCGAUCUUGAGUCCGGAAGAGGUGAGUGGAACUCCUAGUGUAGAGGUGGAAUUCGUAGAUAUUAGGAAGAACACCAGUGGCGAAGGCGGCUCACUGGUCCGGUACUGACGCUGGGGGUGCGAAAGCGUGGGGAGCAAACAGG